rnacentral:rRNA from 1 species
UACCUACGGGGGGCAGCAGUGAGGAAUAUUGGUCAAUGGGCGAGAGCCUGAACCAGCCAAGUCGCGUGAAGGAUGACGGCCCUACGGGUUGUAAACUUCUUUUGUCAGGGAGCAAUUGAGUCCACGUGUGGGCUUAGCGAGAGUACCUGAAGAAAAAGCAUCGGCUAACUCCGUGCCAGCAGCCGCGGUAAUACAUAGGGGGCAAGCGUUAUCCGGAAUUAUUGGGUGGAAAGGGUGCGUAGACGG